UGGAAUUGAACUCAGGACUCUGGAACA
rnacentral:piRNA from 1 species